GCAAUACUGGGACACGUUUGUAAGACGGUACCCUUAAGGGUAUUGGUCUCUAUAGGCGGUAAAAAAUGGGAUAUCUUUAAUGUGGGUAUAAUUCGAUUAUCAGUACUAUUCCCGUCUAUCACAAGAUGGCAGUUACUGAACAGGUCUUGUUGGAAAAAGGACAUGUUGAAGUAAUAAUGAACUACGUAUCGCCUCAGGCUGGGAACAGAGCAGGGUUAGUAGUCGCUGAUGUACGGUGUGAAAGAAUUACGGUUGAGUAAAAUGAUAUCAUCAAAUUACAUCCACGUUAAGUGUACACC